UACCUCAGUAACGGCGAGUGAAGCGGUAACAGCUCAAAUUUGAAAUCUGGGUCUUUCAGGCUCCGAGUUGUAAUUUGUAGAAGAUGCUUCGGGUGCGGCUCCGGUCUAAGUUCCUUGGAACAGGACGUCAUAGAGGGUGAGAAUCCCGUAUGUGAUCGGUUGCUUGCGCCCAUGUGAAGCUCUUUCGACGAGUCGAGUUGUUUGGGAAUGCAGCUCCAAAUGGGUGGUAUAUUUCAUCUAAAGCUAAAUAUUGGCCAGAGACCGAUAGCGCACAAGUAGAGUGAUCGAAAGAUGAAAAGCACUUUGGAAAGAGAGUUAAACAGUACGUGAAAUUGUUGAAAGGGAAGCGCUUGCAACCAGACUUGCGUGUCGUCGAUCAUCCGGGGUUCUCCCCGGUGCACUCGGCUUCACUCAGGCCAGCAUCGGUUUCGGUGGUUGGAUAAAGGCCUUGGGAAUGUAGCUCCUCUCGGGGAGUGUUAUAGCCCUCGGUGCAAUGCAGCCUACCGGGACCGAGGACCGCGCUUCGGCUAGGAUGCUGGCGUAAUGGUUGUAAGCGACCCGUCUUGAAACACGGACCAAGGAGUCUAACAUCUAUGCGAGUGUUUGGGUGUCAAACCCAUACGCGUAAUGAAAGUGAACGGAGGUGAGAACCCUUAAGGGUGCAUCAUCGACCGAUCCUGAUGUCUUCGGAUGGAUUUGAGUAAGAGCAUAGCUGUUGGGACCCGAAAGAUGGUGAACUAUGCCUGAAUAGGGUGAAGCCAGAGGAAACUCUGGUGGAGGCUCGCAGCGGUUCUGACGUGCAAAUCGAUCGUCAAAUUUGGGUAUAGGGGCGAAAGACUAAUCGAACCAUCUAGUAGCUGGUUCCUGCCGAAGU
rnacentral:rRNA from 1 species